AUGGACAGGCUUACUUCUUCAUUCCUACUGAUGAUUGUCCCUGCAUAUGUCCUGUCUCAGGUUACUUUGAAAGAGUCUGGCCCUGGGAUAUUACAGCCCUCACAUACCCUCAGUCUGACUUGCUCUUUCUCUGGGUUUUCACUGAGCAUUUCUGGUAUUGGUGUGAGUUGGAUUCGUCAGCCCUCAGGGAAGGGUUUGGAGUGGCUGGCAACCAUUUGGUGGGAUGAUGAUAAGCGCUACAACCCAUCUCUGAAGAGCAGGCUCACAGUAUCCAAAGACACCUCCAACAAUCAAGCAUUCCUGAAGAUCGUCAGUGUGGACACUGCAGAUACUGCCACAUACUACUGUGCUCAGAGUGCACAUUGA